rnacentral:rRNA from 1 species
CAGCAGCCACGGUAAUACGUAGGUGGCAAGCGUUGUCCGGAAUUAUUGGGCGUAAAGGGCUCGCAGGCGGUUUCUUAAGUCUGAUGUGAAAGCCCCCGGCUCAACCGGGGAGGGUCAUUGGAAACUGGGAAACUUGAGUGCAGAAGAGGAGAGUGGAAUUCCACGUGUAGCGGUGAAAUGCGUAGAGGUGUGGAGGAACACCAGUGGCGAAGGCGACUCUCUGGUCUGUAACUGACGCUGAGGAGCGAAAGCGUGGGGAGCGAACAGGAUUAGAUACCCCCGUAGUCCCUGUCUCUUAUAC